GUGAUAUACGCUAGCUUGAUCGUACAGGGAAAGAAAUUGUGUUUUCUGAUUGUUUACUUAUGAAUAGUCAAAGGACAUUUUUAGAUAACAUUUUUCUGCAUUUCUUUCAGACAUUUCAGGAGGAAUUUGUCCUUUAGUGAGGAGUUUUGUAGUCUUCCAAAAUGUUAGCAUGACAUGUAUCUUUUGCUGUUGAACCACCUCAGCUGAGCUGCUAGAGGACCGUAACUGUGUCCUCCUCACAGCCUGGAGCAGAACACCACUGUCACCAGUCUUAGCUGAAGUGCUGACAGAGUGCUAAAAGAUUUUUUUAUGAUUUCUUGUUAACUGGUGCCAAUGAACGUGAACCAGCAGACGGGUCAUGGCGCCGCCAUCUUUUUUGACUUUGGACGCCAUUUGGGUUUCUUCCUACUCUAAACUUCUGUGGACUCACCUUCUGAAAUAGGUCAGGAGGUAGCGGCGUGCUGAUGGGGGGGUGACAGCCCGUGGCCACGCGGCAGAAAAAUGCUGGGGAUCCAAAGCUCCUCCCACACGCAGCCCACUGGUUGGAGUGAAGGAGAACAUUAGAAAAGCCCCCAACUGUCUCCUGAUGAAGGUUGGACCCCUGGAACGCUGGAAUGACAGCCAGAGUCAAGAACCACAUGGAUGAAGCCGGUUCUAGAUGCUUCUCAGAUCUUUCUCCAAGGAGGAACGUUCCCAAGACGGAUGACACUGCAGACAAUGUUCAUAGUGAUGAACGAACAGCAUCUUCAGGUCGGCUGCAGCGUCACAGGAAGAGAAGGCCUUUUCAGCAGCCUGACUGCUGCUGCACAGAGGCGACGCACAGCAAAAACCAAACACGUUUCCACAUCCACCACAGGGCCAGCCGGUGCAUUAUUAACCAGAACCUGCAGAGCUGACGGCGGCUUUCAGCACGGCCUUAUGUGGAGGUUCCGGUCUCCUUUGAUUGAAGUUCUUCAAACUCCAUCUGUGAGAUGUGUCCAGUAGAACAGCAGAGUCUCCCUGCUGCCUCUUCACCACCUGGCCGUCCACUGCAGGUACCGACGGUGCAGCGUCCCGCCUCUUCCAUCACAAAACACAUUCGUUGACUUGUUUACCAGCUGAGAGGUUUCAAACAUGUACCUUUAAGUCAGUUGACAGAUUUUAUUGUAAAGUCGUUUGGAUUGAAGCCAAAUUGGAGCAGCAGGUUUCUUUCCACAUUUUCUGUUUGUUUCUCUGGACAAAAACCCAGGAUUACUGUGGCGCAGCGGCGCCGCUGGUCGAUGUGAUCAAAAAGAAGUCCUGGAGUUGGAAGAAAGCGAUGGCGGCGACACCUUUCUGUGGGGGUGCAGCCUGUAAACACAGGUGCAGCGGGAACAUCAGGGUUGACAAAAACAAUCCUGGCAUGAGGCUGUAAUGAGCUUUUGAUUAACACCACUGCUGUGAUUGCCAGCUUAUUAUUUCCAGAUUUGUAAAAGCUGCUGCAAACAUGAUCAGCCAUCAUUGGGAAAUUUGAAUUAAUUAUUGAGAAGACCGGAGAAUCUAAACACCAGCCGCCCUUCAGGUGACGGAAAAACAGGCGUAUGAUUCAGUUAGUCCCAUAAACAUGUUACACUAAUGAUUUGUCAUUGAUUAAUAUUUAAACAAAGAGCCAUAAGCAGCAUGACUGUAGAAAUCUUUAAAGAUUAUGGUUUUCUUGACUGCGUCGGGUGUAAAAACCAGCAGUUUUUCCCUUUUUUAUGGCCAAAAAUGAUGAAUAAUUUCUGUGCUAAGAAAUGCUGAAAACAUAUAUUUGCAAAACUCGGUGAUGCAGAAAGCCAUCUCGGCUGUAUUUGGAGAGUCUCUUGGAGGGAAAAGAAACACUUGGGGCCAUUUUCUUCUUUGUUCAUCAUCAGGGGAUCUCACAGGCAUCUUUGGUGUCUUGAAAUUUUAAAAGCAGUUAGACAAUAAAUGGAAGAACACGUCAUCAGAUGGAGCCAGCUUCUGGGCAGACAGAUGGGAAUUUCUCCUGUGGCUCCGAGCAAACACACACAACACUCUGUCACAUCUCUGUAAACGGCUCCAAACAUCUUCACCACAGAGAACCUCUAAGGGCUUCAUUCACGGGGUUUGGGGGGUGCAUCCAUUCACACCAUCCUGGCCUUAAUUUCCCUAAAUGGUGGAGCAGCCCAAACAUUUAUGCCUGACAGGGAUGAAUGGUGGAGGAGUUAAUGAGCAGGAAGGGAAGCUGAAAUGAAGGCGGUCUGGGGUUUUUGGUUGCUUCAUCGUUGCCUCAGCACCAUCCAAAUGGGAGAUGAUGCAAACGCUGCAUUGUUCCCUAACCUAGUUAUAGCUUUUAUGUUAACGACAACGAUCUGUGUACAUUUGAAAGAUUUGACUUCAUCGUAUUAUAGAAAUGUUGUAUUUUAUGAUUUAGAAAGUAAAUAGAAAAAACAGCUUCAAAUCUAAAUCUUUAAUCACAUUCUAGAAAAACCAACAUGCAUCUGAAUUCUCUCCAGAAUAAUAACCAACCAGGUGUCCAUUACCAGCAAUGAAUGGACGGUUGCUCCUGCAAAGUCUGUGCGUGUCUGAAGAGUGUUAUCCCGCUAAUACCAUGGUCACUUACAAAAGAAAUGAGCAUUGAAUCAAUUAUUAGUAGUUUAUUCCAACUACUUUUAUGUUUAACUCAUUUUUCUGUGCCGAUGCUGAAGUUAUGGUUCCUUCCAGAAUCAGAAGCUACCAAAACUGAGGUGAGAUAAUUGCAUCAUAUUAUAGAGA